UGUAAUAAUAACACUUAAAAAGGGUGAUGCA
rnacentral:piRNA from 1 species